rnacentral:rRNA from 1 species
GACGAACGCUGGCGGCGCGCUUAACACAUGCAAGUCGAGCGAGAACCAGGGCUUCGGCCCUGGGGACAGCGGCGAACGGGUGAGUAACACGUGGAUAACCUGCCCUCGGCACCGGGAUAGCCCGGGGAAACCCGGAUUAAUACCGGAUAGCCCUUUCGGCUUUCGAGCCGGUCGGAAAAGGUAGCUUCGGCCUCUGGCCGAGGAUGGGUCCGCGGCGGAUUAGCUUGUUGGUGGGGUAAUGGCCUACCAAGGCACCGAUCCGUAGCUGGUCUGAGAGGACGAUCAGCCACACUGGGACUGAGACACGGCCCAGACUCCUACGGGAGGCUG